rnacentral:misc_RNA from 1 species
UUUCCGUAGGUGAACCUGCGGAAGGAUCAUUACUGAAGAAAUGGCUGGAGUUGAGCUGACUCUUCGGAGUACGUGCUCGCUCUGGUCGCUCCUUCUCACUUUCCACUGUGCACCUUCUGUAGGCUCAACGACGAAUCUCAGUUGCUCUGCAACUGGUCUUGAGAGCUCGCACGCAAGUGCUUGUACUCUCGACUGUCGUUGGCCUAUGUCUUACAAACUACCAAGUCUUAUGAAUGUCUACUUGUUGGUCUUUGACCGAUAAAAACCUAUACAACUUUCAGCAACGGAUCUCUUGGCUCUC